rnacentral:rRNA from 1 species
UACGUAGGGUGCGAGCGUUGUCCGGAAUUAUUGGGCGUAAAGGGCUCGUAGGCGGUUUGUCGCGUCGGGAGUGAAAACCUCGGGCUUAACUCGGGGCUUGCUUUCGAUACGGGGCAGACUAGAGGUAUGCAGGGGAGAACGGAAUUCCUGGUGUAGCGGUGAAAUGCGCAGAUAUUGGGGAAGAACACCUGAGGCGAAGGCGGGUUGCUGGGCCGACACUGACGCUGAGGCGCGAAAGCCAGGGGAGCGAACGGG